rnacentral:rRNA from 1 species
AGCGAACGCUGGCGGCAGGCCUAAUACAUGCAAGUCGAACGAUCCUUCGGGAUAGUGGCGGACGGGUGAGUAACACGUGGGAACGUGCCCUUUGGUUCGGAAUAACUCAGGGAAACUUGAGCUAAUACCGGAUGUGCCCUUCGGGGGAAAGAUUUAUCGCCAUUGGAGCGGCCCGCGUCUGAUUAGCUAGUUGGUAGGGUAAAGGCCUACCAAGGCUACGAUCAGUGGCUGGUCUGAGAGGAUGAUCAGCCACACUGGGACUGAGACACGGCCCAGACUCCUACGGGAGGCAGCAGUAGGGAAUCUUGCGCAAUGGGCGAAAGCCUGACGCAGCCAUGCCGCGUGAAUGAUGAAGGUCUUAGGAUUGUAAAAUUCUUUCAGCGGGGACGAUAAUGACGGUACCCGCAGAAGAAGCCCCGGCUAACUUCGUGCCAGCCGCCGCGGUAA